rnacentral:rRNA from 1 species
AUGCUUCCAGGAAAAGUCUCUAAGCUUCAGUUACACAGGAAUCGUACCCGAAACCGACACAGGUGGUCAGGUCGAGUAGACCAAGGCGCUUGAGAGAACUCUGCUGAAGGAACUAGGCAAAAUGGUACCGUAACUUCGGGAGAAGGUACGCUGUUGUUGGUGAUGGAACUCGCUUCCUGAGCUGACGACAGCCGCAGAAACCAGGCCGCUGCAACUGUUUAUUAAAAACAUAGCACUCUGCAAACACGAAAGUGGACGUAUAGGGUGUGAUGCCUGCCCGGUGCUGGAAGGUUAAUUGAUGGGGUUAGCGUAAGCGAAGCUCUUGAUCGAAGCCCCAGUAAACGGCGGCCGUAACUAUAACGGUCCUAAGGUAGCGAAAUUCCUUGUCGGGUAAGUUCCGACCUGCACGAAUGGCAUAAUGAUGGCGGCGCUGUCUCCAGCAGAGGCUCAGUGAAAUCGAAAUCGCUGUGAAGAUGCAGUGUACCCGCGGCUAGACGGAAAGACCCCGUGAACCUUUACUGCAGCUUGACACUGAACUUUGACCUUACUUGUGUAGGAUAGGUGGGAGGCUUUGAAGCUGGAACGCUAGUUCCAGUGGAGCCGUCCUUGAAAUACCACCCUGGUAAUGUUGAGGUUCUAACUCUGUCCCGUGAUCCGGGACGAGGACCGUGUCUGGUGGGUAGUUUGACUGGGGCGGUCUCCUCCUAAAGAGUAACGGAGGAGUACGAAGGUGCGCUCAGCGUGGUCGGAAAUCACGCGUAGAGUAUAAAGGCAAAAGCGCGCUUAACUGCGAGACCCACAAGUCGAGCAGGUACGAAAGUAGGUCUUAGUGAUCCGGUGGUUCUGUAUGGAAGGGCCAUCGCUCAACGGAUAAAAGGUACUCUGGGGAUAACAGGCUGAUACCGCCCAAGAGUUCAUAUCGACGGCGGUGUUUGGCACCUCGAUGUCGGCUCAUCUCAUCCUGGGGCUGAAGCAGGUCCCAAGGGUAUGGCUGUUCGCCAUUUAAAGAGGUACGCGAGCUGGGUUUAGAACGUCGUGAGACAGUUCGGUCCCUAUCUACCGUGGGCGCUGGAAAUUUGAGAGGAUCUGCUCCUAGUACGAGAGGACCAGAGUGGACGAACCUCUGGUGUACCGGUUGUGACGCCAGUCGCAUCGCCGGGUAGCUAUGUUCGGAAGGGAUAACCGCUGAAAGCAUCUAAGCGGGAAGCCUACCUCAAGAUAAGAUUUCCCUAGGACUUUAUGUCCUCUAAAGAGCCGUUCGAGACUAGGACGUUGAUAGGUUGGAUGUGGAAGCAUAGUGAUAUGUGAAGCUGACCAAUACUAAUUGCUCGUGAGGCUUGACUAU